rnacentral:lncRNA from 10 species
UUAUUUUAAUUGACAAAUACAUAUUGAACACAUAUGGUGUAUAGCAUGAAGUUUUGCAAGUAUGUCUGUCUGCACUGUGGAAUGGCUAAAUCAAGCCAAUGAACAUCUACACUACCAUACAUCCUUAUUGAUGAAGAGAAUGUAGCAGGAUGAGCUGCAGACAAAACUCUUGAGACACUGGAUUAAAGAAGGAAGAGGUUUUUAUUUGGCCGGUAGCAUUGGCAGACUCAUGUCUUAAGAGCCAAGCUCCCCCAAAAAGAAAUUCCUAGCCCUUUUAAGGGCUUACAACUCUAAGGGGUCCACGUGAAAGGGUCAUGAUAGAUCAAGUAAGCAUGAGGAAUGUGACUGGAGGCUACAUAUAUCAGCUAACAGAACAAAAAGUUUUACAGUGCUUUCUCAUACAAUGUCUGGAAUUUACAGAUAGUACCAGUAGUUUUUAUCGGUAAUAAGAAAAAGGAUGGCUUAAUAGUGCCAAUAACACAACUGUCUGCCCAUUCAUUAGGUAACUGAAUGUAGGCUCUCUGCCCACAUAUCCAGUAUAGUCCAGCGAGAGCCAUCCAGUCCUGAUGAGAUCCUGGACAAGCCCCCAUUAUAUCAGGAGCUGGAUCAGUGGGCACCAACUCUCAGGCUUCCCAAGGCCAUCGGUCUCUGAUAGUGGUUCCCCCGCAUAUAUAACAAGAAGUAACAUUAAGGGAAUGAGCUACAUUUUCUGCUAAUUGGAGAAACAAAUUUUUUAUCUUUUUCAGAAGUUCUGGUGCUGGCAGAUUUAACUCCUCAUAAAAGGUUUGAAACACUGGUUUGGGAGAGUGCUUGUGGACCUCCCCUUGAACUAAAAUGGCCAAAAGGCACAAUUUUCACAAACCCCUGACUCAUGACAAACAUAUUUAUUUUCUACUCUGUAGCUCCUUUCCCAGUUAAGAGAACCACAUCCUGUUCCUAGCUUGUUACUAUUAAUGGCUGCACAAGCGUCAAAUCUUAAAGUUACUUGUUUGGGGAUUCCUUUUUCUUCUGUUCUAGUUAUUAUUUCACUUGUAUCACCUAGGAAAAGGCCAGUUCUUAAUCUUAUUUCAAAACUGGUGGUUGUAGGGGGCUCAGAUGGGUUAUAACACACAUCAGGUCAGUCAUUUCCUGGGCUACAUACCUUGUACUGAGUGGCAUUAUACAAACAAGUCUCUUUUAACGUUCCCAUACAUUGAUAAUAACUAUAGAACAGAAAGAUUGUUUUCAUUUGCUGUCCUACCUCACUGACCUGAUGAAUACACUGGGAAUAGUCCCCAGUUUGAGUAAGAACAGUUGAAGCCCUUACUGUAAGUCCAAAAUUUAAGAAAAAUGAAGCCCACAAUGAGCUUCCUCAUGCUUCGGCUGUGCGUGGACCAGUCAGCUUCUGGGUGUGACUGGAGCAGGGCUUGUCAUCUUCUUCAGGGUCACUCUGCAGGGGUUGUCCAGACUUGGUCUUGCCUCCCAGGAUUCAGGCGCUGCAGGUUUUACACGGUUGUGAUGGAUCCAGGCUAGGAUUCUCUCUACGUUCACAGCAGUGGGAGUGAUCAGGACGACAGUCUGGGGUCCUUUCCACCAUGGGCACAAAGAGGCUACGUUCC